rnacentral:rRNA from 1 species
AUACGGAGGAUCCGAGCGUUAUCCGGAUUUAUUGGGUUUAAAGGGUGCGUAGGCGGCUUUUUAAGUCAGGGGUGAAAUACACCGGCUCAACCGGUGCAGUGCCUUUGAUACUGAGGAGCUUGAAUGCCGCUGGAGACGGCGGAACGGGACAAGUAGCGGUGAAAUGCAUAGAUAUGUCCCAGAACACCGAUCGCGAAGGCAGCUGUCUAAACGGUUAUUGACGCUGAUGCACGAAAGCGUGGGGAUCGAACAGGAUUAGAUACCCUGGUAGUCCACGCCCUAAACGAUGAUGACUCGAUGUUUGCGGUACACAGUAAGCGUCCAAGCGAAAGCGUUAAGUCAUCCACCUGGGGAGUACGCCCGCAAGGGUGAA